rnacentral:rRNA from 1 species
UACGGAGGAUCCGAGCGUUAUCCGGAUUUAUUGGGUUUAAAGGGUGCGUAGGUGGCCUGUUAAGUCAGGGGUGAAAGACGGUAGCUCAACUAUCGCAGUGCCCUUGAUACUGAUGGGCUUGAAUGAACUAGAGGUAGGCGGAAUGUGACAAGUAGCGGUGAAAUGCAUAGAUAUGUCACAGAACACCAAUUGCGAAGGCAGCUUACUAGGGUUUUAUUGACACUGAGGCAUGAAAGCGUGGGGAUCAAACAGG